rnacentral:snRNA from 1 species
ACCCUGGUUUAGUCACUUU